UUCAAUUUUACUUCACAGUUCCUGGAAGGCUGGUACUACAGCACUCGGAUAUCAAUGGAAGCCGAGAAAGCUAAUGGGAACAGAGAGAAGAAGAUGAGCAGAAAAGAGAUGCUGGAAAAGAAGAAACUGGUGGAGGAGAUAAUCAAAGCUGCUUCUUCUGAGAAAGACCAUCUCUCGUGUUUUCCGACAUUUCGCCAAUGCCACAGAAACGGUCUGUCUGUAUACUUGGAGUCGGGACAUGGGAAUAAUCUUUCUUCUCAACUGAAGCAAUAUAUCCAAUGCCUUCUCAAGGAGAAUAUGAAGGGACCAUAUGGAUCAGAGUGGCCAGCUGAAGAGAAGGUCAAGCGCAGGGAAAUGAUUGCUCCAGAAGCACGCUACAUAUUUGCAUAUGAGAUUCCAACUGCUGAUGCCAGGCAAAUGCCUGCUGUGCGUGACAAGGAUAGGGAUACAGCUAAUAGGAUGGAUGACAAGGGUCCAAUUAUUGGAUUUGUGCACUAUCGCUUCCUCAUAGAAGAAGAGAUACCUGUUCUUUAUGUGUACGAAUUGCAGCUUGAGCAACGUGUUCAGGGAAAGGGCCUAGGGGAAUACUUGAUGCAACUAAUUGAGCUUAUUGGUCACAAGAGUAAAAUGGGUGCUGUGGUUUUGACAGUUCAAAAGGCAAACAUUUUAGCUAUGAAGUUUUAUACAAGUAAACUUAGGUACAAAGUGUCUGCUAUUUCGCCAUCCAGAGUGUAUCCAGGGUUAGGACUGCAGACAAAUUAUGAGAUUCUCUGCAAAACAUUUGGUCACGAAGCUAAAGCAAUGCUGGAGGGAAGCGGUACAAAUGAGGAAAACUGAUUAUUGGACAAGCUUGUGUAGCCUUGCAAGUUGUGCUCAUUCUAGAGGCUGCAACAGACCCCUCAGCUAGUAAAAGGUUGGUGCAAACUUGAUUUCUUCCUCAUGCCACCCUUCGAAGACGUGGCCUUCAGUUAACUCGCUCUUCAGCUUUAUUUCAAGGUUUUAAAUUUCAACUUCAGAGUUAUGCAUAUCGGCUUAAAAGGAUAUAUGUUUAGGAUCCUUAAGUUCAUUUUUGAAAUUGUAGCAACCCUUUGAUAUUUACCUGGUCAUUUUGUAGCAAGAUGCUCCACUGUCCAUCAUUGACCAAGGAUCUUGUUGUAGCCUCUGGCAGGUAUAUCCUGUAAUUCAAGUCCCCAAGCCAAAUCACCCUGCUGUGUAUGAGAACCAGAUAUUUGUAGUUAGAUAUUUCUAUGGGGCACGUACAACUGUUAGCCUUUGAUUUCUUUUCAAGGAAAUGCACUCUUUUAAAUAAAAUUCUAAAAGUUACACCACCUCUUUGUUUAAGCUAUAGUAGAAUUAAAAAAAAAAUAAUAAUAAUAAAAAGAAGCGUGAGAUAAUAAAUACAAUACAUAAUCUCAGUUUAAAGGAAAUAAUAAAAAAGCUGUCUCAUUUCUAGCCUACUAUCUGAAAAAGAAAAAUGUUUAAGGAGAACAAGUUGUACGGAUGGAGUAAGUUUAAAUAUCACUGAUGUUUUGGAUUUUAAAAAUUGUGCCACGAGUUGGAGGUUACAUACUCAUGGUCUACAAUUUUUCUUGGCAAAGCCUGUGAAGGUCCAGAAGGAAACCGGGUGCGUGAUAGUAUUUGGGUUGCAUCUGUGUUUCUCAUCUCCUUUGUUUCCUCCUGAUGCCAAAUGACUACAGACAAAGCAGAAGAAGUUGAAGAAUACCCGAGAACAUAGAUAUCAGCUGUGUUCUUCUGAAUGUUGAGCAGAUCUCCCAUGUCAAAGUCAUCUGGCGGUUCAAUGCCCCCCACAUUCCAUGAGCUCACAAACAACCUU